AUGGGGCAAGGGACCUCAGGCUGCCCCUCUCUCCUCCGUGCUGCCUCCCCAAGCUCCCAGCCUGAAUUCUGUCUGUCUGUCAUCUGAGUGUCCACCUACAUUCUGCUGCCACCAGUCACCAAAGCCCCCUCCCAGUGAGGGGUGGAAGGGAUCCCUGGGGUCUGGAAUUUGGACCCAAACCAGAGAAUGUACCUUAAGGGGGAGGGCUAGUGGGAGGGCUUCCCCAGCCUUAAGAGACCCUCUCAGCCCAGUGACUGUCCCCAAACUGAAGUUGCCAGGCAGGAAUAGAACCCUAGUCCCACUCCCUUCCACCAUGUGGAAUCUCUAGGGGGUGGGAGUGGGGGAUCCACUGAAGAAGUAGAGACGGGGACAAGAAGUGGCCCUGGUGCUGUAGGUCAUGUCUUGAUAUCACAAGUUCACCCCCAACCCAAAGCUGCUGGAGAGAAAUCCCAAGAGGCAGCCCUCCUCUACCAUCCCAUAAAAGACCUGGCUGGUUAGCUUCCAGUUCAGGGAGAGGGGCACUGGUGCCUGACCUCACUGGUCUCUCUCCCAGAGGCCCUUGCAGAGGCCACAUCCAUAAAUUUUCUUAUGGAACUCUCCCAAGUCCUCUUCCCCAACUUCAUUUGCUUCUCUCAACAACCUCAUCUGCAUUUUCUAUUUCUAUAUGAUACAGACUCUAUAUUGCUAUAUCUCUGUAUAUACUUUACCCUAACCCUGUCUGUCUCUACCCCAUCCCCUCUUGUCUCUGAGAACCAUCCUCCCACCCUAAGUUUCCCCUUCUAUGUUUCUGCCCCCUCCCUGGUCUCUGAAUGCCUUCGCCUGUAUAAAGAGUUGGACUCUCUCCCCUGGUGUCUGUACUGUGUACACACAUCCCUCUGAGAAGCACAAGGAGACGACACGCGCAUUGUAACCUUCGCACUGUCUCGGUGGCGACAAAGGAAGCUGUGAAUCACAAGCUCUGCCUCUUUCUGGCCUCAUCCUCUCCCCACAACCCACCCGGGCACCCUCUUUGCUCCCUGCAGCCUUAACAUUCCCUUCCCCUGCUCCACCCAUCCCAAUGCCCUUUGCCUGGCUUACCGUGGCCUCCCCAGGGAAGGGGUUGCUACAAAGAUAGCCCCUACCUAGGGGAUGGAGAUCUUUUCUGGAUAAUAAGCCAAGAGUGUCAGAAACAGAAAGGAGCUGGAGAUUGGUGACUCCUGAAGCUGGGGCAGCAGGUUGCUGGCAGGCAGAAGCUGAGGUCCUCAGUCAGUGGCCUUUCCUUCCUUUUGGGUGCCCAGCCCCCCUUCCUCACCUGAUACCCAAGCCCACCAUUUAUAUUUUCUGGUGAGGUAGGGUUUGGUAGUGGGAGGAAAGAUACAGGCCUAGAGGAGGAGUUGGAAAGCUCUGCUAUUCUGUUCCUCCCUACCUUUAUGAGAGACUAGUGAAGUGGAGGGCCUGCCCUACCCCCUCCACCAGGGACUCCUCCCAGGCCAGAGCCCCAACCCAUUCCCAGGCCUUCUCUGCCCAAAUGUCUUUUGGUCUCCAAUCCCAGAAAAGGACCUGUGGGCAGGUCACCUGUGCAUUGGUCUGGAGCUGGAGAGUAAGGCUAUAGGAUCUUUGGAAACUCUUGGUUUCUAGGAGUUCCAUAGAGGUCUUACCUCCCCAGAAGGAAGCAGGAACAAGGCCAAGAAGCGUGCACUGGAUAGGGGAACAGCAGGCAGGGCUCUGGGUGACGCAUGCCUCUGGUCUAAUAAACUGGGUUUCAACCAUCUC